rnacentral:rRNA from 1 species
AGCGAACGCUGGCGGCAGGCCUAACACAUGCAAGUCGAACGAACCCUUCGGGGUUAGUGGCGGACGGGUGAGUAACACGUGGGAACGUACCUUUAGGUUCGGAACAACACAGGGGAAACUUGUGCUAAUGCCGAAUGUGCCCUUCGGGGGAAAGAUUUAUCGCCUUUAGAGCGGCCCGCGUCUGAUUAGCUUGUUGGUGAGGUAAAGGCUCACCAAGGCUACGAUCAGUAGCUGGUCUGAGAGGAUGAUCAGCCACACUGGGACUGAGACACGGCCCAGACUCCUACGGGAGGCAGCAGUGGGGAAUCUUGCGCAAUGGGCGAAAGCCUGACGCAGCCAUGCCGCGUGAAUGAUGAAGGUCUUAGGAUUGUAAAAUUCUUCACCGGGAAGAUAAUGACGGUACCCGGAGAAGAAGCCCCGGCUAACUUCGUGCCAGCAGCCGCGGUAAU